rnacentral:misc_RNA from 1 species
GAUGAAGAACGUAGGGAAAUGCGAUAAGUAAUGUGAAUUGCAGAAUUCAGUGAAUCAUCGAAUCUUUGAACGCACAUUGCGCCCGCCAGUAUUCUGGCGGGCAUGCCUGUUCGAGCGUCAUUACAACCCUCAGGCCCCCGGGCCUGGCGUUGGGGAUCGGCGGAAGCCCCCUGCGGGCACAACGCCGUCCCCCAAAUACAGUGGCGGUCCCGCCGCAGCUUCCAUUGCGUAGUAGCUAACACCUCGCAACUGGAGAGCGGCGCGGCCACGCCGUAAAACACCCAACUUCUGAAUGUUGACCUCGAAUCAGGUAGGAAUACCCGCUGAACUUAAGCAUAUCAAUAAGCGGAGGA